UGUUUGUUUUUAAGUUAUCUUUGUUUAAGCUAUAGUUUGUACAAAAAGAUAUUUUCGCAGAUUUUGAAUUAAGAACUUUAAAAUAGAAGGAGUGACUGGUAUAUAUUUUUAAAAGAGGUCUUUUUUUUAAUCAUAAAUUAAAAGUUUGUACAAAGAUAUUUACAACAUCCACAAAGACAAAGAACUUUCUCAGGAGCAACUCGGGUAGACGCCAUAUUUAGAAUUUACGUCACGUAUUUAUGAGCUGAAGAUUUCAAUCGAGACAAAACCCAAAGCUUCUAAAAUCAUGUCUUGGACGUUCGAGCAUUUUCUUGUUCAAUGGUUCUGAACGCAGAUUUCGUUGGUGGUUGGGGUAAAACACGGGAUGUGUAAAACCAUACGAUCUUGCAGUUCAGACAUACAUACCAGACGGGGCACUCAGACCCAAACACCCUGCAUUCAAAAAGCACAAGCGCCGCAUGCAUUGCUCCACUGGUUAUAAAGGGAUAUCGUUUAGGUCUAAAUAAUAAUAAUAAUAAAACACUAGGGAUUCUAUAAAAACAUGCAAACCAAUUAAACAGUCCAUUACACACAGAAUUAGUUUAUCACAUUAAAAAAAACAAAUACAGAACGAUGAAAAAAAAAUUAGAUCUAAAUCUAGUAAGUCCAGUAAGAUCUGUAGUUAGAUCUAAGUCUAGUAAGCCCAGUAAGAUCUGUAGGUAGAUCUAGUCUAGUAAGUCCAGUAAGAUCUGUAGGUAGAUCUAAAUCAUUAAACCAAAAUAGGAUUAGGUCUCAUUAAUAAA